UGGAUAUAACUUUUGGCCAUAUGCAUGGACCCUAUAAAUACCAUCCUUGAAGAAGAAGAAAAAAA
rnacentral:sRNA from 1 species